rnacentral:rRNA from 1 species
GGCAGCACGGGUGCUUGCACCUGGUGGCGAGUGGCGAACGGGUGAGUAAUGCGUCGGAACGUACCGAGUAGUGGGGGAUAACGCAGCGAAAGUUGUGCUAAUACCGCAUAUUCUGUGAGCAGGAAAGCGGGGGAUCUUCGGACCUCGCGCUAUUCGAGCGGCCGACGUCUGAUUAGCUAGUUGGUGGGGUAAUGGCUCACCAAGGCGACGAUCAGUAGCGGGUCUGAGAGGAUGAUCCGCCACACUGGGACUGAGACACGGCCCAGACUCCUACGGGAGGCAGCAGUGGGGAAUUUUGGACAAUGGGCGAAAGCCUGAUCCAGCCAUGCCGCGUGUCUGAAGAAGGCCUUCGGGUUGUAAAGGACUUUUGUCAGGGAGGAAAUCCCCAGGGCUAAUACCCUUGGGGGAUGACAGUACCUGAAGAAUAAGCACCGGCUAACUACGUGCCAGCAGCCGCGGUAAUACGUAGGGUGCAAGCGUUAAUCGGAAUUACUGGGCGUAAAGCGUGCGCAGGCGGUUGGUUAAGCAAGAUGUGAAAGCCCCGGGCUCAACCUGGGAACUGCGUUUUGAACUGGCCAGCUAGAGUACGUCAGAGGGGGGUGGAAUUCCGCGUGUAGCAGUGAAAUGCGUAGAGAUGCGGAGGA